rnacentral:misc_RNA from 1 species
UGGUUCUGGCAUCGAUGAAGAACGCAGCGAAAUGCGAUAAGUAAUGCGAAUUGCAGAAUUCCAGUGAGUCAUCGAAUCUUUGAACGCACAUUGCGCCCUUUGGUAUUCCGAAGGGCAUGCCUGUUCGAGCGUCAUUAUCACCCCUCAAGCCCUCGGCUUGGUGUUGGACGGUUUGGUGGAGGCCCCUCGCGGGCAUCUGCCCCUCCCAAAGACAAUGACGGCGGCCUCGUUGGACCCCCGGUACACUGAGUUCUUCACGGGACACGUACUGGGCACAUGGGUUCACGGGGCACGGUCUGCCUCCCCUCAGGGAGAAUUUUUUUUAAGGUUGACCUCGGAUCAGGUAGGGAUACCCGCUGA